GUGCUGUGACUCAGCAGUGGCGAGCCCGGCAGCAUCUGGCAGGUGGCGGCCAGCUGGGCAGAGAGGUACAGUGAAGAGGCAGGACAUCGUCCUGACGCCCCCCUACCGGGAGGCCAGCCAGAAGCCUGGCACAUUGAGAGCCUUUUCUAAGCAUUUACCGCUUUGCAUCUCCAUCUGUUGGUUCUCUAUGACAUUGAAGCGCUGAAGCUAAUUUCACUGCUUUGAUAGCCCCUUGCCCCCCUUUUCCCCGGCUAUUGGCUGAUUUAUGAGAUAAAAGUUGGGUGCAGUGUCACUCUGUGAGCACACUUGUGCAGCUAUGUGCACAGCACUGUGCUGGGCCCUUGAGGAAGACGCAAUUAAGAGCAGGGAGGCAGGUGAGUGAAGUGCAGUUCAGUGUGUCAAGCCCUAGGACAUGGUAAUAGUAUCAUGUGGUGUUUGGAGUAGGGAUACGGGGCAGGGUGGCUGAGGAGGGAGUCUUGCCUAAAACUACAAGAAUGUGUUGUGUUAGCCAGUCAGAAGGAGCACCAAAUGGAAGGCCUUUAUGGGAGCAGCAUGGCUCACUCAGGGAACUGAGAAACCCUCAGUACUGCUGUAGCUUGAAGAGCUUAUAGGUUUAAAAAUCAUAUAUAUGUGUGUACACACUUAUACAUACAUACACAUACACAUACUGGAGAAGUAAGUGGAAGGUCAUGGCCUUGUAAAUCAAGGUGCAGGUCAUGUUUACUUUAUCCUGAGGCACUGGGCUUCAGCUGAGAGAAGCUUAAAGUGGGGAUAACAUGAUCAGACACGUUGUUGAGAGAAAUCACUCUUGCUACACUGGAAAAUAGACUGGAGGAGACAUGUCUAGAGGCAAGAGUGGCAGCCUGAACUAGGAUGGUGGCAGUGGAAAUUGAGACACUGAUCCCAUUGAAAUAGAAGGGCGAGUUGAUAGUACUGGCCAGCUGGUUGGAAAUGUGAACAGGGAAGAACUGAGAAUGAUUCACAUUUGUGUCUGACGUAGGGAGCGAUAGAAAGAGCAGGUUCUAGGGGAGACAGCACUGAUGUUUGUGUGGGUUCCUGUGUGUGUCCAGCACUCUGCUCUGUAUGUAUCGACUUAGCCCUUGGAGGAAGCCCAGGAGGUCAGUGCAGUAGUAUCUCCAUUUGACAGA